GAUGUAGCCACCUAGCUUCAACCCAACCGGAGCUAACUGGAACACCCAUCGACCUGAACCUUACACGGAGUUUAGGUGGAGGUUUUCUGCGCCUGUUCGUGAGAAGUACCUGUAUUAAAAAAGUUUUAAAUCGAUCUGUUUAAAUGUCACCAUGGCAGCCUGUGUGUCUCCAACAUCAGCUACACAAAGCAGCAAGUGUAAGUUCCACAUACCUGUCUCACCACUUCAUGUAUGGUUUUGUACUUUAAACAAUUAUGACAAACCUGUUAUUUUUUCUCCAUAGCCAUUUGGAUCAUUGGAGACAGCUAUGUGAGGCGUGGUGCCCAGAGAGCUGCAGAGACAACCUUGGCCUCCCUGACGUCUGUGUCUCCUGGUUUGGUUGGGGCGGACCAUCGACAUACAUACAUGUGCCGACACUUUGCGCCCUGUUUUAUAAAAUGUAGUGUUAAAAAUAAAUGUUUUUGCUCAA